rnacentral:rRNA from 1 species
GACGAACGCUGGCGGCGUGCUUAACACAUGCAAGUCGAACGGAAAGGCCCUUCGGGGUACUCGAGUGGCGAACGGGUGAGUAACACGUGGGUGAUCUGCCCUGCACUUUGGGAUAAGCCUGGGAAACUGGGUCUAAUACCGAAUAGGACCACGCGCUUCAUGGUGUGUGGUGGAAAGCUUUUGCGGUGUGGGAUGGGCCCGCGGCCUAUCAGCUUGUUGGUGGGGUAAUGGCCUACCAAGGCGACGACGGGUAGCCGGCCUGAGAGGGUGACCGGCCACACUGGGACUGAGAUACGGCCCAGACUCCUACGGGAGGCAGCAGUGGGGAAUAUUGCACAAUGGGCGCAAGCCUGAUGCAGCGACGCCGCGUGAGGGAUGACGGCCUUCGGGUUGUAAACCUCUUUCAAUAGGGACGAAGCGCAAGUGACGGUACCUAUAGAAGAAGCACCGGCCAACUACGUG